GGGUUGUGAGGUUAAGCGACUAAGCGUACACGGUGGAUGCCCUGGCAGUCAGAGGCGAUGAAGGACGUGCUAAUCUGCGAAAAGCGCCGGCGAGGUGAUAUGAACCUUUGACCCGGCGAUGUCCGAAUGGGGAAACCCAGUGCAAUCCGUUGCACUAUCGUUAACUGAAUACAUAGGUUAACGAGGCGAACCGGGGGAACUGAAACAUCUAAGUACCCCGAGGAAAAGAAAUCAACCGAGAUUCCCCCAGUAGCGGCGAGCGAACGGGGAGCAGCCCGGAGUCUGAAUCAGCUUGUGUGUUAGUGGAACGGUCUGGAAAGUCCGACGGUACAGGGUGAUAGUCCCGUACACGAAAAUGCACAUGCUGUGAACUCGAAGAGUAGGGCGGGACACGUGGUAUCCUGUCUGAAUAUGGGGGGACCAUCCUCCAAGGCUAAAUACUCCUGACUGACCGAUAGUGAACCAGUACCGUGAGGGAAAGGCGAAAAGAACCCCGGCGAGGGGAGUGAAAAAGAACCUGAAACCGUGUACGUACAAGCAGUGGGAGCCUCUUUAUGGGGUGACUGCGUACCUUUUGUAUAAUGGGUCAGCGACUUAUAUUCUGUAGCAAGGUUAACCGUAUAGGGGAGCCGAAGGGAAACCGAGUCUUAACUGGGCGUUAAGUUGCAGGGUAUAGACCCGAAACCCGGUGAUCUAGCCAUGGGCAGGUUGAAGGUUGGGUAACACUAACUGGAGGACCGAACCGACUAAUGUUGAAAAAUUAGCGGAUGACCUGUGGCUGGGGGUGAAAGGCCAAUCAAACCGGGAGAUAGCUGGUUCUCCCCGAAAGCUAUUUAGGUAGCGCCUCGUGAACUCAUCUUCGGGGGUAGAGCACUGUUUCGGCUAGGGGGCCAUCCCGGCUUACCAACCCGAUGCAAACUACGAAUACCGAAGAAUGUUAUCACGGGAGACACACGGCGGGUGCUAACGUCCGUCGUGAAGAGGGAAACAACCCAGACCGCCAGCUAAGGUCCCAAAGUCAUGGUUAAGUGGGAAACGAUGUGGGAAGGCACAGACAGCCAGGAUGUUGGCUUAGAAGCAGCCAUCAUUUAAAGAAAGCGUAAUAGCUCACUGGUCGAGUCGGCCUGCGCGGAAGAUGUAACGGGGCUAAACCAUGCACCGAAGCUGCGGCAGCGACACUAUGUGUUGUUGGGUAGGGGAGCGUUCUGUAAGCCGUUGAAGGUGUGCUGUGAGGCAUGCUGGAGGUAUCAGAAGUGCGAAUGCUGACAUAAGUAACGAUAAAGCGGGUGAAAAGCCCGCUCGCCGGAAGACCAAGGGUUCCUGUCCAACGUUAAUCGGGGCAGGGUGAGUCGACCCCUAAGGCGAGGCCGAAAGGCGUAGUCGAUGGGAAACAGGUUAAUAUUCCUGUACUUGGUGUUACUGCGAAGGGGGGACGGAGAAGGCUAUGUCAGCCGGGCGACGGUUGUCCCGGUUUAAGCAUGUAGGCGGAGGUUCCAGGUAAAUCCGGUACCUUAUUAACGCUGAGGUGUGAUGACGAGGCACUACGGUGCUGAAGUGAUAAAUGCCCUGCUUCCAGGAAAAGCCUCUAAGCAUCAGGUAACACGAAAUCGUACCCCAAACCGACACAGGUGGUCAGGUAGAGAAUACCAAGGCGCUUGAGAGAACUCGGGUGAAGGAACUAGGCAAAAUGGUGCCGUAACUUCGGGAGAAGGCACGCUGAUGUGUAGGUGAAGCCCCUGCGGGCGGAGCUGAAAUCAGUCGAAGAUACCAGCUGGCUGCAACUGUUUAUUAAAAACACAGCACUGUGCAAACACGAAAGUGGACGUAUACGGUGUGACGCCUGCCCGGUGCCGGAAGGUUAAUUGAUGGGGUUAGCGGCAACGCGAAGCUCUUGAUCGAAGCCCCGGUAAACGGCGGCCGUAACUAUAACGGUCCUAAGGUAGCGAAAUUCCUUGUCGGGUAAGUUCCGACCUGCACGAAUGGCGUAAUGAUGGCCAGGCUGUCUCCACCCGAGACUCAGUGAAAUUGAACUCGCUGUGAAGAUGCAGUGUACCCGCGGCAAGACGGAAAGACCCCGUGAACCUUUACUAUAGCUUGACACUGAACACUGGUCCUUGAUGUGUAGGAUAGGUGGGAGGCUUUGAAGCGUGGACGCCAGUCUGCGUGGAGCCAACCUUGAAAUACCACCCUUUAAUGGCUGGUGUUCUAACGUAGACCCGUAAUCCGGGUUGCGGACAGUGUCUGGUGGGUAGUUUGACUGGGGCGGUCUCCUCCCAAAGAGUAACGGAGGAGCACGAAGGUUGGCUAAUCCUGGUCGGACAUCAGGAGGUUAGUGCAAUGGCAUAAGCCAGCUUGACUGCGAGCGUGACGGCGCGAGCAGGUGCGAAAGCAGGUCAUAGUGAUCCGGUGGUUCUGAAUGGAAGGGCCAUCGCUCAACGGAUAAAAGGUACUCCGGGGAUAACAGGCUGAUACCGCCCAAGAGUUCAUAUCGACGGCGGUGUUUGGCACCUCGAUGUCGGCUCAUCACAUCCUGGGGCUGAAGUAGGUCCCAAGGGUAUGGCUGUUCGCCAUUUAAAGUGGUACGCGAGCUGGGUUUAGAACGUCGUGAGACAGUUCGGUCCCUAUCUGCCGUGGGCGCUGGAGAAUUGAGGGGGGCUGCUCCUAGUACGAGAGGACCGGAGUGGACGCAUCACUGGUGUUCGGGUUGUCAUGCCAAUGGCACUGCCCGGUAGCUAAAUGCGGAAGAGAUAAGUGCUGAAAGCAUCUAAGCACGAAACUUGCCCCGAGAUGAGUUCUCCCUGAGACUUUAAGUCUCCUGAAGGAACGUUGAAGACGACGACGUUGAUAGGUCGGGUGUGUAAGCGCAGCGAUGCGUUGAGCUAACCGAUACUAAUGAACCGUGAGGCUUAACCUUACAACGCCGAAGGUGUUU
rnacentral:rRNA from 3 species